rnacentral:rRNA from 1 species
UACGGGGGGGGGGCAAGCGUUUGUUCGGAAUUACUGGGCGUAAAGGGCUCGUAGGUGGCCAACUAAGUCAGACGUGAAAUCCCUCGGCUUAACCGGGGAACUGCGUCUGAUACUGGAUGGCUUGAGUUUGGGAGAGGGAUGCGGAAUUCCAGGUGUAGCGGUGAAAUGCGUAGAUAUCUGGAGGAACACCGGUGGCGAAGGCGGCAUCCUGGACCAACACUGACACUGAGGAGCGAAAGCCAGGGGAGCAAACGGG